rnacentral:lncRNA from 1 species
UAUGGGGACAAGGGGGUGGGGUCCAAGGCAGCUUUGAGGAUUUGUUCGAUGGCCCUCCCUUCUCAUUGUUUUUCUUUUCUGCUCCUCGUCAUGCCCCCUGCCAGUGCCAUGGUUCCAGCUGUAGUCCUCCGGUGAGGCUCCCUGCUGCCCGUCCCUCUCCUUUCCAGGCCCUUCUGCGUGCAGCGGCCAUCUUGUCUUUUCUUGCUUAGAGGUUUAAAAUGGUUUCUCAUCAUUUCCAGAGUACAAUUCCUUCCCUUUGGCACAGUGCUGAGGACUGUCUGUAACUAGCCUUAGCUCUCCUCUGCAGUCUUACUCUUCUGCGUUUCCCCAGGUGGACCACGUAUUCCAACAAAGCCAGGCAACUCACUUUUUCUUGCUUUUCCUAUCUCUCGGUUUUCCCUACUGGUAUUUUCCAUGCCUCCUUGGCUCCACCGCACCCACCUGCGGCAGCCCCACCGUCCUCCUUGGACCUUUCCCGAUCACCUUCACAAGCAGCAGUCCUCGUAACCUCUCCUUGCUCCCUCCGGCCAAGCUCUCGUACACUUUGUCCCUCUCGUGUGCUACUUCGGUGGCCUUACGGCUCUUGGUGUAGAAGUCUUGGGUCACCUACGAGAUGAUGAGCUGCAAGACGCUGAGAGUCAAGGAAGGAAGACACUUAACCUAUUUGGUGCCUUCUGUUCGCCAGGUGCCACGUCAGGCUGUUCCACGGACCUUCUUUCAUUUACUGCUUUCCACAACCCUCCGAGGAGAGUCCCGUGACUGGUAAGUGUUCUGAUCAUGAUUAGAACCCCUGUUUCCCCAAACCUUUGCCUUCUUCUUUACCUCUCAGUUCUCAGUGUCUGCCACGUGGCUCUUACAAGGUAGAUCCCCAGAACGUGCCUGUUUAAGGAAUUUCAUACACCUCUAAUGCCAUAUGGGAGUUUGGGUGGCCGCUCUUCCUGUGCCCGAGGUCUGGGUCUCGUAGCUGUUCCACGCUCCCCUGGACCCUGCUACCUCGUUAACUUUCUCCUCUUCCUUUGCGGUCAGGUUCACUCAAGAUGAUGGCUUUUUUUUUUUUUUGUAGCUGAAAUUUUGUUGGAUUAACAAACCUCAGUUAUCCUACUUACCUUCCUCCUGGAAGAGAAGGUGGAGGUGGGAUGGUUGUAGUACCUUCAGAGCAGAGUGAGCUCCAGAACCCAGGAUCAGUGGAGAUCGGACAAGGCAGGGAGCAGGACCAUUGCACUUGGAUCUUGACCCUGCCUCAUCUUGUUAGGUGGUUUUUCUGAGGCUUAGUGACCUCAGUCAGUGACAUGGAGCCACUGUAAUCUACAGUGAAAUGCCUAAUAUAUUGCCAAGCAAACAGGCUCCUGACAGAAAGUGGUGCACCUCCCUUUCCCCUGCCCAGCUGUUUUAUCGGGGACUUAAGAAGAGUACGUAGCAGGUGGCUGGAGAAGGAAUGGGGGGAAGGGAGCUUGCCAGCCUUCAGUGAUACCAGAGGCAGGGGAGGAGGUGACCGGGCAUUGCACACCUGAAGCCUGCGAGGAAGUGCUUUUCCCUGACCUGGAGUAAAGACCCCCUUAACUUCUGCAUCGGGAAAACGCUGUGGGACCAGAGCCGUGAGGUCAGGGUGGGUGGUGGCAGCGUGAGGGUUAACCAGUGAUCCUUCCUGGGAGCCUCGUGACGCCAGGUUAGCUUCCCCUCUUUCCGAAUCGAAUCGCAGCAGUGGCUGCCUGCUUCCUGACGCUGCUGCAUCCCGUGGGAGGGGAGUUGGGCACCCUGAAGCCCCUCGUCACCGAUUCCGGGGCUGCAGAGCAGAGAGUGACGACAGCCCAUGAGUCGUCAGCCGACGGCAAUGGGGACCCUGGUGACGGCUGCUUUGUUGUGUUUUUCCUCUUUGGAUGAUGACUCAGUGUGUCGGGAGCUGGGAGAUGGGGCACUCAGCCGAAUGGCCAGGACGUUCUGUCAACAUGAAAGCAGCAAAAACAGCUUAUCGGGGCUCAGAGCCGACCCUUAGGCUGGGUUCAUUUUCGGGAAGGGCUUGGCAGAGAAGAGCACUUCUGGACAUCGGGGGUGGGGAGACAAGGCCAGGUAACCCAACAGGGGUCUGUGGACCCUUCAGUUUCAGAAACCAAAAAGAAAAUGCAGCUGCUUGUGUUAUUAGAUAAGCUUGGCAAACGGUCAUUUUACAAGCUCCUCUCACCCGUCCCAAACAAGAGACAUCUUCUCAGGGCCAGAAAACCCUCCGGGAUUUCUCACCAUGGCUCAUUGUCAUAGAUGGAGGGUGAGCCCGUCUCGGGUAGGGUGGGCCUGGGAGUCCUUAGUGAUCACUGGCAUUCCGGGGCCCCGGAAGCAAGAGCCCAUGGUGGGGACGUGGCGUCUCAGGUGACCUCUGCUGGCAUCACACCAGCAGACGGUGUCACCCACCAGAAGAUGGUGGGUCCACGUCACCGGCCUCAAGCCGAAGGCCAGCUCUGGCGCAGCCUACUUCAGCCUCCCCUUUCCUUAUUGUCCCGAGUCAAACUUACCUUCUCGCCUUUCAUCGUCCUCAAUUCCUUCUUAGGUGAAAUAGUGGGCCUUGAGUCCUUGACCUUUGUGUGUGUGUGUGUGUGUGUGCGUCAUCAUGGCGGCUCAGGGUUCUAGACUUUUCUUGAAUCUGCAGCAUUGCGCUAAGGGCGCGUGACAUUCCCCCCCGCCCCGCCCGCCCGGCCCCGCCCAACCAUGGCCAGCCAUGCCUUCUUGGGAGCAAGAGAGGCCUGGGCCUCCAUUGCCACUGAAUCUCAGGCAAACCACUAUCCUCAGCAUCUGGCUUCCCUUCUCUCCUCUGUCUCCCUCGGCCCUUGUCUGGGGACAGAGGAGCAAACAACUUGUGGGUGGGGAAUUGAGGACGGCCUGGCCCAGGACCACCCUGCCUAUGUACCCCUUAGGCCAUUUUUCAGUCUCCUGCUUUCCCAUAGAUGAUGCUUAGCACUGACAUUUGUCGCCGAGCACCUCCUCCGCUCCCCAAGGACCUCCCAGUGUGACUCAUUUGGGAUCUCUGCAAGGAGUGGCUUUGGGGCCUUGGGAGCCAGGGGGAGCAGGAAGACCUGGUGGAGGUCACAGUGGAGAGGUACGCAGGGCAAAGGACGAGAGCCGGCUGUCCCUGGCCCAGAAUGCAAAGGCAGCCCCAGCCCCUUUGUGUCAUGUCAUUUUGAGCCUGAAUAGAGAGCAACUUGACCUAAAAAAAAAAUCGUAUAUAUGUGGAUGUUAGAUCCUUUGUGUCUCUUUGUCCAGAAGCUGCGCAUAUGACGAGGGCUCAGAUUCUGUACUUCAGAGAGCUCUGCUGUCCCUCAGGUUUGUUUUCCGAAGGAGGUGGUAGUUCCUCUUUGAUGAGACCCUGUGCCCACGGGGACUGGACUUUUCUCCAGGACAAGGGGCACAGCCUUGUCUUGUUGCUAUCAUUGGAUAGUGAGCAGCAGCUGAAGACCAUGGUCCCGGGGCCACAUAUUAGCCCCAGAUGGAACCCUGAUUGGGGCUUGCAGAAUUCAUUGCUUGGCUGGCUGGCCCCAAGAGCUGAGCCUACCUGGCUUCCUUUCACUUCUUCCCCACUGAGAACUCAGAGGAGUUGAGCUCCAUGAGUCGGUGACAGCCUCUUGGAGACUCAGGCUAAGCUGGGGACAGAGCUGGUGUGCAGAAGACAGCCAUCAUACCGCCUAAUAGAAUGGCUUGCAUUUAUUUGGAACGAAAAAAGGAGAUGCCUGGCAGCCUGGCUUUCUGCAGCUAAGUAUUCGUCUGCAUUCUGGUUUUCCGUCACACAUCGGAAGCGAUAGAUGUUCAUUGAACCCACCCAGCUGCCGUGACUUCUCCUUUCCCCGCGCACCCCUGCCCCUGAUCCUCCAGCAGAGAUUGGAUUUUCUGGUGCGGCUGGAGAGCUGCAGAGAGGCUAGAUCCCAGUGUCCAGCCCCCGCACAUCGCCCUCACAUUCAGGAGAAGUCGAUUUUCCCUAAAGCGGAGCCUAAAGCCCAUGUCCCUCAGUGCGGUGUUAUUAAUGGGCCGACGGGAAGGGCCCUGCUUGCCCUCACUGCCCCCAGCGGGGAGGUGAGGCUCUCGGCUGGCUGGCUGGGGGAGGACGGUCCUUGCCAGCAUCUAGCAUGGUUCUCUGCCAAGUUCUAGCUCCAAAUCUCUAGGCCGCUAGGAACCUAGACUAUAUAUAGCAUUGUGCUAAGCAAUUCUUAUCGGACAUGUCUGCCCUCCCCUGCGGGAGAGGAGCCCUUCUCCCAGGGAACCGGAACCUAGAGAGUGUGAGCCUUCUCCAAGGGGUCUUUCGUUCCAGGAAGGGCUGUGUGUGUGUGUGUGUGUGUGUGCGCGCGCGCGCGCGUGGCUGUGUCUGCUUCAGGGCUGCCAAGCUUUCUUUCCUUUUCCCUGUUUCAGAUGCUGCGAGAUCGGAAGGUCUGAUUGGGAUGAGGGCCAGGAGGUUCUUGAUGGUGUGCGAUGUGGCCUAUGGCGUCCACCAGCCUCCCGCAUGUCUUCUUGGUUUCCUGUUUGCCUUCUUUGCCCAAGGAGGUCUUCUGACCUCUUGAGCUUCUUUUGGAUCUCCUGUCUUCCCUGCCCUCCUCUACCUCUUCCUCCUCCUUCCUUUGAUUCUCUUUCGGGUAUGUGACGGCAGACUGGGCUACGGGCAUCCGGGAGCUGUGUCUGCUCGCCGCCCUCACCACCGCCCCCUCCCCCCCCCCACCAGUUUGGGGUUUCUGGAAAUCUGGCUUUAGUCAGCCGUCCUCUGGAGGAAUUGGGUGGUGACUGAGCGUUUCGUGCUGGGUGGUACGGGGCAGAGCAGGCUGGAUAUUUGCCUCCUCCCUCCCGUAGGUGCUGUCGAGCCACCGAUUUUCUGUGGUUCCGCGACCCCGACCGAGUGCUGACUGAUGUGACAGGUUCCGGUCUUGUCAGUGAAUCAUCGCCAAGCUGCUUAUUGGAACCCAGAUGCAGCAAGAAAAUGGGAUUUAACCCCUUCCCAGCCUCUCAGGUAAGUCAGGUGUGGGCUGACGCUUCCGGCCCCACCCCCCCCCCCCCCAGCCCCCUUCCCUUCUCAUGGAGACCGUUUUCCUUAGUCAGUGGGGAAUCCUCAAACGUCUCCAUUCACAAUCUCCCAAACAAUGCUCUCUUCUUUCCAUUCUCCUACUCCUGGCUUUUCUGUGAAUGGGGUUAGUAACCAGCAAGGACUUGGGGGAAGGGCCAGCCACAGUGAUCCGGCUGCCGGGAUGUGGGAGAUGGCAGGGACGCGUUUCUGGGUGUGGCAGUCAGCAGAGCAGUUGGGCCUCCCACAGUGACUGGCCGGGAACUCUCCUUGGCCCCCAACAUCCAGCAUGAGAUUCUGGGUUUGAGCCCGGUUGGGGGCAGGGAGUCUGCCUGGGACUUGGGUGUGCCCUUGCUUGUGUAUCCCAGUGGAUGUUCACUCUGACUCUGGACACCUUGGGGCUUGCGUCUGCAGCCGUAGCCUGGAGUUUAGACUAUGGGCUGGGCAGUAGACUUCAGGGCUCUUUCUCCACUUGCGUGUGUCAUGGGGCUUGUUUUGGGGCUUUUUUUGUUUGUUUUUUUGUUUUGAGUAAAUCACUCUCUUCCUCUAGGCUCUCAUUGCCUUCACCUUAAAAAAAAAAAAAAAAAAUUUCCUGGCCUGGUAAACCAUUGCAAAGCAUCUACAGGCUGUUGACGUACAAAUGUUUUUUCUCUGCCUUACUUGAUGCUGGUCACAGUAAUAGCAACGGUGAUUAAAAAUGAUGUUGGGACUGCAGAACUGGGGAGGCCUGUCGCAUUCUAGAGACAGUUCAGAAAGCAGACCGUAGUCGCUUGCCACGCUGCCUACCAGGAAAUCUCCUAUUGAAUGCAUUCCUGCAACGUUCUGGGCGAGCAGGGUCAGGUUGGAAUUAGCCGACAGCGGAUUUGUCUGGGGUCUCAAGAUAAAAGGGAUGGUCCCCGGUAAUUUUACCGCACACUUGGCUGAUAUCUGGAGGCACCUGUGGGAUCCCACCUCUGCUCUCCCCACCCCCUUCCCAUCACUGGCCAGGAAGGACCGGUGAAUUCUGCCCGUCAGUGUUUUAUCUUCUCUCCUCCCCAUCUGACCGGAGGCUGAGCUGGCUGUGAGCAGCCUGAGGUCCUCCCGGAGUGAGGAAUCCGAGGCUGUUGGGAAGAGACACCCGACUCUUCUCUUCCCUGAAGGAAUUUGACAAGUCUCAGCCCCUCCAGCAGUAACGUGGGGAGGGAUGGCUGGGGGUGUUGGACCUGGAACAUGAAUAAAGAGGAGAGAUCAGCUUUGGUGCAGCUGGGGAGACGAGGAGGAGCUGGCCAAGUCCCUCAAGAUGUGUC